rnacentral:rRNA from 1 species
CCUACGGGUGGCAGCAGUGAGGAAUAUUGGUCAAUGGCCGAAAGGCUGAACCAGCAAAGUCGCGUGAGGGAAGACGGUCCUACGGGUUGUAAACCUCUUUUGUCGGGGAACAAAGCGAACCACGUGUGGUUCAUUGAGAGUACCCGAAGAAAAAGCAUCGGCAAACUCCGUGCCAGCCGCCGCGGUAAUACGGAGGAUGCGAGCGUUAUCCGGAUUGAGUGGGUUUAAAGGGUGCGCAGGCGGAGGUGCAAGUCAGCGGUCAAAUGGCGGGGCUCAACCCCGUACUGCCGUUGAAACGGCAUCCCUUGAGUGCGCGAGAAGUAUGCGGAACGCGUGGUGUAGCGGUGAAAUGCAUAGAUAUCACGCAGAACUCCGAUUGCGAAGGCAGCAGACCGGCGCGUAACUGACGCUCAUGCACGAAAGCGUGGGUAUCGAACAGGAUUAGAUACCCCAGUAGUC